GAGCUCCUGUGGAGGGUCAAGGGUAAGUUUGACAACGCGCUUGCGAUGCUUCUGGUGUUGCAGGGGUCUAUAGGCGACGGUAAUCGCUGACCAUCAGGUGAGCCGUUCGCUUGUUUGUCGACCUAGUGACA